CAGACCAUCAAGCACAGCUUGGUUUUGAGCGCCCUUUCGCCUGUAUUCCAGGCGAAACGCUCUAAAGAAGUCGGCGGCGUAAAGCGAGCCUCGAGCGUAGUAACUAUAUUUCGCUACAAGGUCAUUAUAAUUCGCUGGAGCCAGCCUCUAGAAAACCCCUAGAAAAUUCUAAU
rnacentral:misc_RNA from 1 species